GAUUACGGCCAUACCACACUGACAACGCCCGAUCUCGUCUGAUUCUCGGAAGCUAAGCAGAGUUGGGCUGGGUCAGUACUUGGAUGGGUGACCGCCUGGGAAUACCUGGUGCUGUAAGCA
ensembl:rRNA 5S_rRNA 5S ribosomal RNA